rnacentral:lncRNA from 1 species
GCCCUGUCCAAGGAGAGGUCUGCUUUGUUGAUCAAGCUGAGUUUAGCGUUUCUUUCCUCUCUGAAGGAGACGCUAGCACAGCCUUCGCCCUGUGGGGUAACAUUACAACGAGACAGGAAGCGAGAAGGGCGUGAAAGGAGAGAGGCGGCCGCAGGCAGCCACGGAAGGAACUGGAAGCACAGGCUGUCUGUCAGGUGUGUCGACAGCUUUGGUCAAGAAUUCACAUACCAGGAAGUCAGACCUUUAGGGGCCAGCAUGUUUUCUGGCUCUGUCUUCAGUAAGAGUGGAAGGAGGGCCCUGGCUGGAGCAAGGCCUCACAUCCUCGGAAUUCCAAGGCAGUCGUUAAACCUGGGGCUUUUAAGGAUGGAAUUCAAGAGGAGUCGGGAGAGGAGGGGAGUCACUAACAUACACUGGCACUUAGUGGGCCCAUGUGUAAACUCCCCAAACACCAUCGAAGGCUCCCAUGAACCGGCUCACACGCGUGUCUUUCGAGCACUUAGGCUGCAUGGCUCACAGAGAUGACUAGCAACAUUCUUGUAGAAUUGGAAGUUGUUUACACUCCAAGUACGUGAAAACAGGUGUGGGUUUUUUUUUUUAAUUUUUGGAUUUUAUUUGCAGUAUCAAUAUGCAAAGUUAUUUAUUAUAAAUUGAAUCUCUUUCCUAUGGUUCACUAAUUCUGUUCACACUGAGUUCCUGGCUCAGUAGGAGUUUGCCAACACCAGUUCUGCUCAACCCUUGAUGAUUAUGGAGGAUUUAAUUAUAAUUGAAAAUGUAAAAAAAAAAGAAAUCUAAUCCAAAAAUCAAUUUGGCAUAGAAUUUAAUAACAGAUAAAAGCUCAAAAUUCUAUAACUAACAAGUGAAAAAUAUCAGCACUAGGAAAUGAGACUUUCAUUCCCAGCGUCAUCCACACCUGGGUAGGUGCUUCCCGACCUGGCUUCUUUCAUCACCUUCGUGACACGGGACUUGCUCUCACCCUGAGACAUGGUAAAUACGUUAUGAAGUAAAGGCAGGCAUUAUAAACAACACAAACCGUGUGAAACAAAGGCAAACACAGGGCAGCAAAUAGACACAGCCCCUUCCUCUCUCGUGUUGAAGCAGAGAUUUCCCUGCAGCCACAGCCUCUCGUUUUCAGAACUCUCCUCUCAGGCCUGCUGUGAAGGAUGUGGGGAGCACUGUCAGUGGGCCCCCGUGAAGUUAAGACCUCGGCAAAGGUUUCUCUCUCAGAUGGUCCUUCUGUAUCUGUGGUGUGCACCAACAGAAAACCACAGGCCAGAGGAAGCCGACUUCCUCCAUCUCCAUGUCUGACUUGAACGUCCGAGGCAGGGCCUCCUGAGUGUGGGCCUGCUCUUGUUAUGUAUAAUCUAAGCCUCUGACGCAUCACAGUAAAAAGUUAGCAAGCACUGUUUAAAGUGUGGCACGUGUUUCCAGUAUAUUUUCUUGAUGCAAUAUCCCAUACUCUGAGAAAGGUGAUUUUUUUGGCUUGUUUUCUAAAAAUGGACAGUGAUAAAAUAUGGAGGUUUAUGAAAUGGUGUCCACUUAAAGAAAAAAGGCACUACUAAAGUUUUAAAGGAAAGAUGUCCAAAUUGCAAGUGCGUCCUACCUAUUGAACCCAAUUUUCCUCCAUGAUGAGUCCAGUAGGAUUGUGUUAGUAAACAACAACUUGAAUGUUCCCAAGCCAGGCCCUCUCACCAGGUUCUAGCGCAAAUAAAUAACCAGGCCCUCUCCCCA